GUUAGAGGCUCAUCAGAGCUAAAGGAAGAAAUGCUCAAUCAUUCUGCCACUUACUUAGCUGAGCUCAGGAUUUCUCGUACGGGCUUCUGGGGGGUUCUGAACGUCCCAGUUCAGGUCUAUGUAUCAGCUGGAGCAGCUUUUCUCCAUUCAUUUGCCUUCUGAGGAUGAUGCUGAAGGGGCAGUCUCAGAGGUUAUGCUGUGUCCUCACAUGGCAGAGAGAGAGUGCUCACAAACUCUCUGGUAUCUCUUCUGAAUUCUGGAAGGUGCCCUAGCCUGAGAAGAGAGAUCACCUGAUCCAACAGCCUUUCCUAAGGAGAGUGAUCUGCCUGUUCUCAAAUGUCUGACAUAUUCUCCAUACCCUGGGCUAUCAUACAUUAAAGUUGCCUUAUUGAGUCUGUAGACUCCAUUUUUUGUUAUGUAUAAUAAAAAGAGGUUUGAGCUAG